UCUUCACUCUCUCUGUUUGGCCGAAAAUAGGAAGAAGAAAAGGGAAGAAAAAUCUAGCCAAAAUCCUUACAAAAUUACUUCAAUCCACUUCCAAAUUUCAUCAUCCAUUAGAGGGCUUUGAUCCUAGCUUGGAAGAGGGGGCUGUUCAUCGGUUUUCUUGGAGGAAUUUCGGUCAAGAUUUCUGCCCUAAAGCUGUCCAACUAAGUUCUUGAGAAUGAUUGAUGGAAUGAAGUUGGAAGAAAGUUAGAAAUUUGGAAAAGGAUCUCAAGAGGACUUCGAGGGAACUCCCGGCGAAGCGUCUUAGAGCUAAUUUCUCAAACUUUGACUUUUGAUACUUGGUUUGGAAGUGGAAGUUCUGAGGCUUAAUUAGUGACCCCCAAAAAUAAUUUUUCCCCAUAGGGCUCGAGGCCAAAGAAAGCGCUUGUAUUGAGUUAUUAGUGCCUGAAGGGAUAUCUCAUAUAUAAUUUGAAUUCGAUUCACUUGAUAAGUAUUUGAUGUAAUUAUUUGAGAACUGAGGACUUUUGUCUUAUUCGGGGAAUGAUACCCUUACUUGAGAUUUGUAAUGUAUCUUAUC